rnacentral:rRNA from 1 species
CCUACGGGGGCAGCAGUGGGGAAUAUUGGACAAUGGGCGAAAGCCUGAUCCAGCCAUGCCGCGUGUGUGAAGAAGGCCUUCGGGUUGUAAAGCACUUUCAGUGGGGAAGAAAGCCUUGGGGCUAAUACCCUCGAGGAAGGACAUCACCCACAGAAGAAGCACCGGCUAACUCCGUGCCAGCAGCCGCGGUAAUACGGAGGGUGCGAGCGUUAAUCGGAAUUACUGGGCGUAAAGCGCGCGUAGGCGGUCUGAUAAGCCGGUUGUGAAAGCCCCGGGCUCAACCUGGGAAUGGCAUCCGGAACUGUCAGGCUAGAGUGCAGGAGAGGAAGGUAGAAUUCCCGGUGUAGCGGUGAAAUGCGUAGAGAUCGGGAGGAAUACCAGUGGCGAAGGCGGCCUUCUGGACUGACACUGACGCUGAGGUGCGAAAGCGUGGGUAGCAAACAGGAUUAGAUACCCGGGUAGUC